rnacentral:antisense_RNA from 1 species
AUACAAAAACAUAAAAACAUCGACUGUUUUAUAUUUUGGCUAGUCGUUCACGUAAACUUUGGUCGGUUUGGGGUGGACGACUUCUUUUUUAUUUUGCU